ACCCCAUCAAUCAACAAGGAAAUAGAAGGUUUACACUGCAUUAGGCAAACCACUACUUCAUCUCUGACACCUUUUUCUUCCCUAGCAAUCAUGGCAUUCCAGGAUUCCAUGGCUAACUAAAUCCAAUUUGGAGGACCUGAUGGAACUGAAGCACCAUCUCCAGCCGCCUCAUGGCGGUAACCACCACUCCCAGACAUAUCAGAAUUAUAAAGACUUUCCAGAUUCAUACCUGAUUGGAAUUCGUCAUUAUCUGCACGCACCCACCUUCCAAAAAAGCCAAAAGAAACUCCUUCCCUCAUAAACCGUUGGGUGCCACUAUCCUGACAAUCCCUUUGGUCAUGACCCAGUAGACCACACCCAAUGCAAAAAUUGCCCAACUUCAUGCUUGAAGGUGAACACAAAAACAUUCUUAUCCACUGAGGCUACUUCUAUUUCGUUUAAUAAAUUCCAAGCUUUUGUUAGAAUGUCCUUAACUAACGCUCUGGGAAAGGAUUUAUUAGAUAAAAUCUUACCAAUGAGUAAACACUUGGAUGUAUUACUGGAGGUUGAAACUACUUCCAGAUUGACUUUACUCUUAAGCCAACUGAGUUUGGCCGCUUGAGAAGUAAUGGCAUCAACAGAGGUCUCUGCCAUAACAGAGCCGUACUAUAAUAUUAACUGAGAGUGGAGUGGAGAAGAGAGAUAAAUGUUGUUGAGAGUAGGUGAGAUCAUAAAGGAGGUGAGGGAGAUAGCAAGCUAGAUCAACCAAAGUCAACUAAGAAAAAUCUUCACAAGGAAGACAAAAGCCACAUAAAGUGGGAUCGCUUCACGAGGAAGGCCAGAGAGGCAUUACGCCCAAAACGUUUUUCUUCAAUGACAAUGUUAAUAAUGCUGGAGCUUCUGCGGUUGUGGUUGAUAUGGAAGGCCUAAAGGCCUUAAACAUAGACCCUUCAUCCUGGUUCUCAGGCCAGGCUGACAAUUUGGUUCAACUUCAAGCAGUGGUUAAAACAACUUAUGAGAAAGCAGAAGAAUGCUUGAAUACUAAUCACUAUUGUGUGAGAAGAGUAACUGAGGCUCUCCUUCCACUAUUAAAGCUUUCCCCUGCAGGAGCAAGGAUAGUAA